GCCCCAAGUACGCGGUCACCUUUGAGAAACCCUUCUCGUUCUUCCUCUUCUUCCCCUGUCUCACCUCCUCCUCUUCGCAGCUUCACUCUCUCCGAUCAAUGCUUCUGCCGUCGUAGCUCACCAAAGAAAGAUUGCUUCGGAGGAGUUUAAGGAACAUUGGUGGACAUUCUAGAACUUGAAGAUUGCAAUUUGUUGAGCCAUGACUCUCGUGAGAAAAAAGAGAACAAAGAGGAACCAAAUCAAGCUGAAAUGUUUGUUGCAACUCGGAAUGGACUAAAAGGGAAAACACUUGAUGUAGAAACACAGGCUGUUAUUGAUAAACUUGAUGAUCUCCAAGAAGCUGGAGAAACUCCUUCUAAUGCAUUUCAAAAAGU